AUACGGAGGGUGCAAGCGUUACUCGGAAUCACUGGGCGUAAGGCGCGCGCAGGCGGCUAUUUAAGUUGGAUGUGAAAGCCUACGGCUCAACCGUAGAACUGCAUCCAAAACUAUUAGACUAGAGUGUGGGAGAGGAAGAUGGAAUUAGUUGUGUAGGGGUAAAAUCCGUAGAGAUAACUAGGAAUACCAAAAGCGAAGGCAAUCUUCUGGAACACUACUGACGCUGAGGCGCGAAAGCGUGGGGAGCAAACGGGAUUAGAUACCCUAGUAGUCC
rnacentral:rRNA from 1 species